rnacentral:rRNA from 1 species
UACGUAGGGGGCAAGCGUUAUUCGGAUUCACUGGGCGUAAAGGGCUUGUAGGUGGCCAACUAAGUCAGACGUGAAAUCCCUCGGCUUAACCGGGGAACUGCGUCUGAUACUGGAUGGCUCGAGUGUGGGAGAGGGAUGCGGAAUUCCAGGUGUAGCGGUGAAAUGCGUAGAUAUCUGGAGGAACACCGGUGGCGAAGGCGGCAUCCUGGCCUGUAACUGACGCUGAGACGCGAAAGCGUGGGGAGCGAACCGG